rnacentral:rRNA from 1 species
ACGGCGAGUGAAGCGGCAACAGCUCAAAUUUGAAAUCUGGCGCAAGCCCGAGUUGUAAUUUGCAGAGGAUGCUUCUGGCCAGCGGCCGUUCUAAGUUCCUUGGAACAGGACGUCAUAGAGGGUGAGAAUCCCGUAUGUGACCGGCGCGCAGCCUGCACGUAGCUCCUUCGACGAGUCGAGUUGUUUGGGAAUGCAGCUCUAAAUGGGAGGUAAAUUUCUUCUAAAGCUAAAUACCGGCCAGAGACCGAUAGCGCACAAGUAGAGUGAUCGAAAGAUGAAAAGCACUUUGGAAAGAGAGUUAAAAAGCACGUGAAAUUGUUGAAAGGGAAGCGCUUGCAACCAGACUUUGCGGCGGUGUUCCGCCGGUCUUCUGACCGGUCCACUCACCGUCGCGAGGCCAACAUCGUCUGGGGCCGCUGGAUAAGACCCCAGGAAUGUGGCUUCCCCUCGGGGAAGUGUUAUAGCCUGGGGUGAUGCAGCGCGCCUCGGGCGAGGUCCGCGCUUCGGCAAGGAUGUUGGCGUAAUGGUCGUCAGCGGCCCGUCUUGAAACACGGACCAAGGAGUCUAACAUCUAUGCGAGUGUUCGGGUGUCAAACCCCUACGCGUAAUGAAAGUGAACGGAGGUGGGAGGCGCAAGCUGCACCAUCGACCGAUCCUGAUGUCCUCGGAUGGAUUUGAGUAAGAGCAUAGCUGUUGGGACCCGAAAGAUGGUGAACUAUGCCUGAAUAGGGUGAAGCCAGAGGAAACUCUGGUGGAGGCUCGCAGCGGUUCUGACGUGCAAAU